UACGUAGGUGGCAAGCGUUGUCCGGAUUUACUGGGCGUAAAGCGUGCGCAGGCGGACUUUUAAGUAGGAAGUGAAAGGUUGGAGCUCAACUCCAACACUGCUCCCUAUACUGGAAGUCUUGAGUCCCGGAGAGGAAGAUGGAAUUCCCGGUGUAGCGGUGAAAUGUGUAGAGAUCGGGAGGAACACCGGUGGCGAAGGCGGUCUUCUGGACGGUGACUGACGCUGAGGCGCGAAAGCGUGGGGAGCAAACGGG
rnacentral:rRNA from 1 species